AAACGCAAAACCCAUCGCCAUUCCUGAAAAACCCUCUAGCGACUGCCUUCUUCAUCUUCUCCGUCUCUGUUCCCGUUUGAGCUCAGUGGUGGCCGGGCGAGUCUUCCUCUAAGGCUCAAGCUCAAUAUCCACUUCUCCGUAUCCGUUCCAGAUUAAUUGCAGCGGCAUUAUUCAUCCAAAAAAAAAUAAAUAAAUAAAUUGCAGCGACGAUUGCAUACUGUUCCAAGGCGAUAAUUUGGCCAGCGAUUGCACACUGUUUCUCUUCUUCUUCUCCGUCUCCGUUCGGCCAGAUAUUGUAGCGGCGCGAAUGCAUCCGAGGUUAUUGAACCCCUGCCCCCUUCUUCUUCACCGUCUCUAUUCGGCCAGCAAGUUUCUCUCUUCUCCGUCUCCAUCUUGUGCAGUGACUUGAAUGGGGUCAGGGGGAGUUGUGGCCUUGUGGGAGCUUAUGAUCAUAAAAAAGGAAUAGAGCCACAGAUGAGGAAAAGAUGAAACUCAUCGGUCUAUUGCAGAGACAUGGCCUUCGCUUCCAGAAAUCUCAUCUUCAUUGGAGGUCUUUGUUUACCAACUCUACCUUCGAACAACAACUAGAAACUCUCGAUAUCAAUCAAACCAUUGCUUCAGUUCAUGCCAUCUCUUCGAACCCCUGUUUUUCUCUGUUGGGUCUCUGCAACACCAUUGGUUCUCUCAAGAAAAUCCAUAGCUUGCUCAUCAUCCAUGGUCUAACAGAUGACCUUCUCUGCCAAACCAAAUUAGUUAGCUUGUAUGGUUUCUUCGGGGAUGUCAAGUGCGCCCGCUUUGUCUUCGAUCAAAUAAGAGACCCGGACCUUUACUCAUGGAAGGUGAUGAUCAGAUGGUAUUUCUUGAAUGAUUCCUACCCCGAACUUAUUCAGCUUUAUACCCAUAUGAGACAAUUCCUCAAAGAGCAUGACAACAUUGUUUUUAGUGUUGUGUUGAAGGCUUGCAGUGAAGUGCAUGAUCUGGAUGAAGGGAGAAAGCUCCAUUGCCAGAUUGUUAAAUUUGGGAAUCCUGAUAGUUUUGUAUUGACGGGUUUGGUGGAUAUGUAUGCAAAGUGUGGAGAAAUCGAAUGUUCUUGUACCGCGUUUGAAGAAAUUCAUGAUAGAAAUGUUGUUUCUUGGACUUCAAUGAUUGUGGGAUAUGUACAGAAUGAUUGCCCUGAAGAAGCGCUAGUGUUAUUUAAUCGCAUGAGACAAGGGAUGAUUGAUGGUAACCAAGUCACCAUGGGAAGCUUGCUUACGGCAUGCACAAAGCUAGGUGCUCUGAAUCAGGGGAAAUGGGUCCACGGAUUCAUAAUAAAGGAAGGUAUUAUUAUGAACUCAUUCUUAAUAACUGCCCUGUUGAAUAUGUAUGCGAAAUGCGGGACGAUCACUGAUGCACGUGCAACAUUUGAUGAGCUGCCAAUAGUUGAUCUUGUCUCAUGGACAACAAUGAUUGUUGGAUACACUCAGAGAAACUACCCGGAUGAGGCAUUAAGGCUAUAUACAGACAAGAAAUGGGCUAGUCUCUUGCCCAAUUCUGUUACUAUUGCAAGUGUUCUUUCUGCAUGUGGACAGUCAGGUAAUUCAAAUUUGGGAAAGUCAGUUCAUGGGAUCGGGAUUAAACUAGGAUUAGAAGAUGGCACUGUGCGGAAUGGUCUUAUUGAUAUGUAUGCAAAAUGCAAUAUGAUUGGAGAUGCUCAUUACAUAUUCCUGACAGUUGCAGACAACGAUCUGAUUGCUUGGAAUUCAAUGAUUACUGGGUUGGCACAGAAUGGGUCUGCUGAUGAAGCCAUGACACUUUUUCACCAGAUGAGAUUGGAUUUCAUUGCACCUGAUGCAAUCACAGUUGUUGGUGCCCUCUCUGCUUGUGCUUGCAUAGGUGCGCUGCGUUUAGGUUGCUCAUUACAUGCAUAUAUUAUAAGAGAAGGCUUUUUAUCAUCCAAUGUACGUCUUGGCACUGCCCUUCUCAACUUCUAUGCUAAAUGUGGAGAUGCAGGAUCCGCUCGCAAAGUUUUUGACAGUAUGGAAGAGAAGAAUACAGUGACUUGGAGUGCGAUGAUGGGUGGAUAUGGCAUGCUUGGGGAUGCCAGUGAGUCCCUUGUACUAUUUGCUGAGAUGUUGAAUGAAAAUGUGGAGCCCAACGAAGUGAUCUUUACAAGCAUUUUAUCUGCUUGUGGGCAUACAGGGAUGGUUGGGGAAGGGUGGAGAUAUUUCAAUUCUAUGUGUCGAGAGUAUCAGUUUGUGCCUUCCAUGAAGCAUUAUGUUUGCAUGGUUGAUCUACUGGCUCGUGCUGGCAGGCUAGAAGAAGCCUUGGCAUUUAUAGAGACAAUGCCAGUUCAACCAGAUGUGAGUGUUUUUGGAGCUUUUCUCCAUGGAUGUAGACUCCAUUCAAGGUUGGAUCUUGGAGAGUUGGGAGUGAAGAAGAUGCUCGAGUUGCAACCUGAUAGUGCAGGGUAUUAUGUGCUUAUUUCCAAUUUCUAUGCUUCAGAUGGAAUGUGGGACAAGGCCAGUGAGGUGAGGGAGUUUAUGAGACAUAGAGGAUUGAGCAAGUCACCAGGGUGUAGCCUAGUGGAAAUGGACAAUAGCAACCAUUUCUCUGCCUUGAGAGUGGCAUCUCUCUCAUAGUAAGUGCAUGAAGUGCACAGUUGAGCGUAUCAUAGUUAUGAGAGCUUUGAUGAGGUGGAAAGAUCCCUGCUUUAAGUCUGUGGCUGCCUUGAGAUCCUUGAGGAAAAUUUGGAGGGGUGAUAAUUGAACUACUUGCAUGCUUCCAUGAAGGACAGAUGAUUAAGUCACCAUGAUUUAGCCUCCUGGAAAUGGAUGAGUAUGACAGCAACCAGUUCUCUGCUUUGAAAAUGUCAUCUCUUCUAUAACUAAAUGAUUUGAGUGCAUAUGGAGAGGAUCACUGUUAUAAGAGCUGAGAUGAGGUAAAAUGGCCCCUGACUUGUGUUUUUGGCUUCCAUAAGAUGAUAAUUGACUCUAAUCAGGAGGCUGAUGAUGAACGGGUGCCUCCUUUGCCAUGGACAUGCUUCAGAAUUUAGACUGCAUUCAAGGGGUGUAUCCAUAUUUGGCAUGUGUAAUGUUCGUGGAGUCGUGAGGAUAAUAUUCAUGAGAAGGGAUAAUGGUUCUUGAGGCUGCAAAUUUGUAGCCAAAAUGAGUGGUACUUCAUGGUAGUCCAGAUGGGUCAUUGUCUGUUGUAUCUAUGUUUGCUGCAGACAUGCUUCAGACCGCCCUUCGCGGUUGUCUCCUCUACAAAUCACGUACAGAAAUUGGGUUGAUGCCUUAUCAGCCUCCUUUGGGGGUUCUAUGUAAGUGGAUGGUGUCAUCGGACUAGAACCGUGCAGGAUGAAAUUGACACACCUCGGUUUAUGAGCAUGAAGUGAGAAUACAUGCUAACACAGCUCACUGGUGGAAGAUCAAUUAUUGUUGGUCUUUUGUAUGUAUGCAAAAUGCCAUAUGAUUGGAGAUGCUCAUCACAUAUUCCUGACAGUUUCAGACAAGGAAAUGUUUGCUUGGAGUUCAGUGAUUACUGGGUAUGCCUGGAACGGGCCUACUCAUAUCGCAUAUGAUGCAAUACAGUAGUUGGACUACUCCCCAUAUCUUUGGUAAACAACAAGGAAGAUAUCCAAGUCAGUUACUGCUUUAUCUAGCGGCUGGCCAGAACUUGUAGAUCCAUACAGUUACAAAUUUGAAUGCUUAGCAUUCUCCAUUCCCAGCUGCAGAAUGUACUGAGUUUUUCUAUAAGAGUAACAGCUGACUACUACUUUAAGACACUGAACAAACAUGAGGAAGAAGUUUCAGUGUCAAAUCUUGCUGCGGAAAUUGGUGAUGAAUUUGGAUUCUAUGAUUCCAAACGUGUUCGAAUUCAUUGGAAUUUAACAUCAAUAAGACACUGUAC